CGGUAAUUCCAGCUCCAAUAGCGUAUAUUAAAGUUGUUGCUGUUAAAAAGCUCGUAGUUGAACUUCUGACAGCGAGCAGGUUUGGCUUUGGCCAGCCUGUUCGUUGUCAUCCGUCUGCAAACCUUGUACGUCCUUCAGUGGUUCGGCAAGGGGAGUAGACAAUUUACUUUGAAAAAAUUAGAGUGUUCAAAGCAGGUAUUAGCCUGAAUACUUUAGCAUGGAAUAAUGGAAUACGACUCUUGUCUAUUUAUGUUGGUUAUUAGACUUGAGUAAUGAUUAAUAGGGACAGUUGAAGGCAUUAGUACUUAAUUGUCAGAGGUGAAAUUCAUGGAUUUAUUAAAGACUAACUAAUGCGAAAGCAUUUGCCAAGGAUGUUUUCAUUAAUCAAGAACGAAAGUUCGAGGAUAGACAGCGAUCAGACACCACUUUAUUUCGAACUAUAAACUAUACCGAUUUGAGAUAGCCAAUUUUAAUCGAAUAAUUGGCUGCAUCACAUGAGAAAUCCAAAUCUUUGGGUUCUGGGGGGAGUAUGGUCGCAAGAUUGAAACUUAAAGGAAUUGACGGAACG
rnacentral:rRNA from 1 species